rnacentral:rRNA from 1 species
GGCAGAGUCGUAUCUUCCUGGUUUCCCACUGAUGCUAAGCAGGGUUGAGCCUGGACAGUACCUCUAUGGGAGACCUCCUGGGGAAAACUAAGGUUGCUGCUGGAA